UCAAUAUUUUUUGUUUUGCCCUUUUAUUUUUCAAUAUUCCUAAAUUAUCCUUUCAAAAGAAAGAUUAAUGAAAGGGUAUGUGUAUUAUUUUUCCCCUGAAUCUGAAUGACAUGAACGGAGCACAAAGAAAAGAGGAAGAGAAAGUGAGACAGAAUGCCGAACAGAGCUUGGGAGAGAGAUGAUUUGUGUAAUGGGUAAUGCAAUUUUUAAAGUCUUUAAACUCAAGAGCGAGGGAAAAUGACUUAUUCUGGGAAGAUCAUCAGCUUGACUCUCUAAUCCCUAAAGAGGAAGAGACCCAUGUUUGUUUCAGCGAUUUGAGCUCGAAUGGUGCUUCAUUGAUGGCUCGGAAAGAAUCUGUGGACUGGAUUUUGACUGUUAAGGCGCACUAUAGGUUUUCUGCUGUGGCCAUUGUUCUUGCCAUGAACAUCUCCCGUAGAAGCGUUCUUCGUCUUCUUCUUCUUCUUCGAGCUUCGACCUUUUCUGUAAUUCUUCCAACACAAAGAAGCAUUUCGGUGUUGACGAGUUAAGGAAGCUUUUGUUUGACAAGGAUGCAUACCAUCAAUUUUUACUUUCGCUCAAUCAAGUUAAAAUUCAAAAUAAUGUACGUACAUAAGCUUUUUCUCUUAUUUGGGAAUCUGUCUGUAGUACUUAAGUGCAUAAAGUGCAUGCAUCAACCCCUUUUUAAAAUGCUUGUUAGUGAAUAUUGGGUAUUGUGCUAAUACAAUGACUUUUGUGCUUGAUUUAUAUGGUUUAUUAAUGAGCAUGGUGGUUUAUGCCUUCCCAAUAUAUAGUAGUUUCGCUAUUGUGAUACUUGAGUCUAUGUUCUGAUUAUUUUUCCUAGAUAUUUUUUUGCAACUUGACAAUUAUCAGCUUAGAGAUGAAAUUCGCAAAGAAACACUGCAGCUAGCGAGUUAUUCUUUUCUUGUUAUCUACUAGUUUUUGUUAUAUCAGUCAUGCACAAUUGGAUUAUGCAUGGAGAAAUCUGCUAGUUCUUUUUUUUUUUUAAUUAUAUAUAUAUAUCAGUCAAGCACAAUUGAAUUAUGCAUGGAGAAACAGAUCCUGAAUUUAUUUAAACUCACAGGGGAGAACUUGGAAAAUGAACCACGCAUUAUGGAGCUCAGAAAUCAGUGCAGAAUUAUUAGAACAACAGAGUUGGCUGCUACAUAGGAGAAGCUACAUGAGCUUGAGAGACAAAAGGAAGAAAUGUUGAGGAACAUUAGUGGAGGUGCCCCAUAUGCUUUUAAUGGUGUCACUAAAGUUUGGCAUUAUACCAAUUGUGGUGCCAGUUGGUGUUCGAGAUUUUGACAUUGAUGGGGAACAUUGGAUCAAUUCAGGAUUGAUACCAACAGAGGCUUUUGUAGGAGCUGUAAUAUUCUCUAAGAGCUGUAAUAUUCUCUAGGAGGUGUAAUAUUCUCUUGUUUUUAUUCAUAAAACACUUGUACAAUUUUCUCUUGCUAAUUCAGAUUUUUUUUUUAGUUUUUGUA